rnacentral:rRNA from 1 species
AUUGAACGCUGGCGGCGUGCUUAACACAUGCAAGUCGAUCGGUAACAGGUGUAGCAAUACAUGCUGACGAGAGGCGGACGGGUGAGUAAUGCUUGGGAAUCUGCCUAUUAGUGGGGGACAACCCGGGGAAACUCGGGCUAAUACCGCAUACGCUCUACGGAGGAAAGCCGGGGACCGCAAGGCCUGGCGCUAAUAGAUGAGCCCAAGUCGGAUUAGCUAGUUGGUAGGGAACGGCCUACCAAGGCUUCGAUCGGUAGCCGGCCUGAGAGGGCGGACGGCCACACUGGGACUGAGACACGGCCCAGACUCCUACGGGAGGCAGCAGUGGGGAAUUUUUCGCAAUGGGGGAAACCCUGACGAAGCAACGCCGCGUGGAGGAUGAAGGCCUUCGGUCGUAAC